rnacentral:lncRNA from 1 species
CGGCGUGGGGGCGGCGGGGAGCCUGUGUCCGGUGAGGCGUGGUGGUCCUCGAGCCUGGUCUUGCCGGCUCGGGCCUCGGUCUACUGGGUGGCAGGUUAAUCGGCGUGAGGGAUGAACGGCAAGGAACUUGGUGUGGACCGGGAAGGCUUCCUGGUGUGGCGGCCGUGGUGGUAUUGUGCAGGAGGGGAAACGAGACAGCCGGGCACACACGGAGAACCGCGUGACGGCAGGGCGGCUGUCUGCAGGCCCAGGAGAGGGCCUGGGACAGACGUCCUCACAGCCUCGGGAGCCAGGCUCCGACACUGGGAUCUCGGACUUCUGGCUUCCAGAACGUUGAGGUUCCCGGAACAGGCGCUAGAGGGGGCUGUAACCCAGGUCUGCUGGCAGGCUGUGGAGGAGCAGCCCAGCCAGUGCCAGAGGACGGGCUGCUGCCUCGGCGACUGCUCUCGGAGGCCCCGGGCCUGGCGGGCCGUGAACAGGCGGGAGCCCCCCCGCGGCAGGGCCCNNNNNNNNNNNNNNNNNNNNNNNNNNNNNNNNNNNNNNNGUAGCCACGAUAGCGUCGCGCCCGUCCCUGGACACGGCGACCACUGUCCACGGCUGGAUGGGUGUGAUAGCAAAAUGGAGCUGGCGGAAAGACUCGGGAAAUUCACAGAUAAGGCAGUAGAACCUGCUCAGUCUAAGCAACAGAGAGAGAACAGACUGAAGAGACACAGAGCCUCAGAUCGGCAGAACAGUCAUUUGAUCACCAGAGACCUGGAGCAAGAGGAGGGAGCCUGUGGGCUGCAAAGCGUUGCAAGGAGUAAUGGCUGA